rnacentral:rRNA from 1 species
AUUGAACGCUGGCGGCAUGCCUUACACAUGCAAGUCGAACGGUAACAGGUCUUCGGAUGCUAACGAGUGGCGAACGGGUGAGUAAUACAUCGGAACGUGCCCAGACGUGGGGGAUAACGAGGCGAAAGCUUUGCUAAUACCGCAUACGAUCUAAGGAUGAAAGCAGGGGACCGCAAGGCCUUGCGCGUUUGGAGCGGCCGAUGGCAGAUUAGGUAGUUGGUGGGAUAAAAGCUUACCAAGCCGACGAUCUGUAGCUGGUCUGAGAGGACGACCAGCCACACUGGGACUGAGACACGGCCCAGACUCCUACGGGAGGCAGCAGUGGGGAAUUUUGGACAAUGGGCGAAAGCCUGAUCCAGCAAUGCCGCGUGCAGGAUGAAGGCCUUCGGGUUGUAAACUGCUUUUGUACGGAACGAAAAGGCUCUGGCUAAUACCUGGGGCACAUGACGGUACCGUAAGAAUAAGCACCGGCUAACUACGUGCCAGCAGCCGCGGUAAUACGUAGGGUGCGAGCGUUAAUCGGAAUUACUGGGCGUAAAGCGUGCGCAGGCGGUUUCGUAAGACAGAGGUGAAAUCCCCGGGCUCAACCUGGGAACUGCCUUUGUGACUGCAAAGCUGGAGUGCGGCAGAGGGGGAUGGAAUUCCGCGUGUAGCAGUGAAAUGCGUAGAUAUGCGGAGGAACACCGAUGGCGAAGGCAAUCCCCUGGGCCUGCACUGACGCUUAUGCACGAAAGCGUGGGGAGCAAACAGG